rnacentral:rRNA from 1 species
UACGUAGGGGGCAAGCGUUGUCCGGAAUUAUUGGGCGUAAAGAGCGCGUAGGCGGUCCGGUCAGUCGGUUGUGAAAGUCGGGGGCUCAACCCUCGGAUGCCGAUCGAUACUGUCGGGCUAGAGUCCGGAAGAGGCGAGUGGAAUUCCUGGUGUAGCGGUGAAAUGCGCAGAUAUCAGGAGGAACACCAAUGGCGAAGGCAGCUCGCUGGGACGGUACUGACGCUGAGGCGCGAAAGCGUGGGGAGCAAACAGG